AUCUAUGGCUAUGCCACCCUGAAUGCACCUGAUCUUGUCUAAUCUCAGAAGCUAAGCAGUGUCAGGCCUGGUUAGUACCUGGAUGGGAGGGGUGGCAUGCUCAAAGUGACACAGAAA
ensembl:rRNA 5S_rRNA 5S ribosomal RNA